CUUCUUGAUUUCCCCUGAAGUGGAAUGUGUGUCUUUUUAGAACUACAAGGGGGCAGGUGCAAGUUCCAGGACACAGGUGGGGCUGUACCAACUGCAGGAGGAAGGAGAGGGCCCGCAGAGGCACAGGCCUGUGCUUCUCCUCUGGACCUGAGAGCCUCCUGUGGACCAAGGCCACGAUGAGAGGUGGCAGCGGGGAUGUCUCCAAGAUCGGGAGGUUUGUGGCGAUGAUCACUCUCAGGUACCCGGGCACCCAUCUGACAGCGACUGGGGGAGCUGAGUGACAAGAUGCAGAGCCGUAAUGAAGGGAGGACGGUUGGCAUCUGCUCGUCCAUCUGUGUGUGGAUCUGUCAUCUCCUUCCGGGCAGGCGCUUAACAAUGAACCUGGGAGGGAUCGAAGUCACGGUCGUUGGCUUGUCAGCCAGACUGCCCGCCUCCAGGGGCUGCCGGUGGAGCUCAGUUCCCUUGCUUCACGGCGAUAGGCCCAGCCACCGGGCGCAGAGCACACAUCGCUGUCCCCCAAUCUCACAAUCACCCCACAAAUU